rnacentral:rRNA from 1 species
GACGAACGCUGGCGGCGUGCUUAACACAUGCAAGUCGAACGGAAAGGCCCUGCUUUUGUGGGGUGCUCGAUUGCCGAACGGGUGAGUAACACGUGUGUAACCUGCCCUUGACUUUGGGGUAACUUCAGGAAACUGGGGCUAAUACCGGAUAGGAUCUCCUGCUGCAUGGUGGGGGUUGGAAAGUUUCGGCUGUUGGGGAUGGACUCGCGGCUUAUCAGCUUGUUGGUGGGGUAGUUGCUUACCAAGGCUUUGACGGGUAGCCGGCAUGAGAGGGUGACCGGACACAUUGGGACUGCGAUACGGCCCAGACUGCUACGGGAGGCAGCAGUGGGGAAUAUUGCACAAUGGGCGGAAGCCUGAUGCAGCAACGCCGCGUGCGGGAUGACGGCCUUCGGGUUGUAAACCGCUUUCGCCUGUGACGAAGCGUGAGUGACGGUAAUGGGUAAAGAAGCACCGGCUAACUACGUG